rnacentral:lncRNA from 1 species
CCACAGUCACCUUGAGGUUAUCGAGCAACAGAGCAAAUCUCCUUGACCUAACACCAAGACCCUUGUCCUUGAGGUCAAGCUCGAGUCCAAGAAGCUGUGUGUAUUCUCCUGAACCAUCAGCCACAAACUUCACGUGCUUGUUCUCAGGGUAUGUCUUUCCCCAUGCCUUCAUCACAAACGGAUCGUUCACUACAACAAAACAAUUUCAUUAAUAAUAUUAAACCAAACAGCUAAUAUAUAUAUAUAUAUAUAACAAUCUAAUAUUUGUUUAAAAGAAAGAAUCAAAUUGCAUGGAAUCAAAUCACAACGAAGAAUAUUUACCGCUGAAGCAAAUGAUCUCAUCAACACCCUUCGAUUUCAGCUCCUCUGCUUUCUCAAUGAAUCCAGGCACAUGCUGCAUGCUAAAACAAGAGAAAAAACAAAUAAAAAAUAUCAAAUCUAAUGUAUUACGGCAGAAAAGUGAAAUAAAACUAAAUGAAAAAGUUUACCUGCAUGUGGGAGUGAAAGCACCAGGGACACCGAAGAGAAUGACCUUCUUACCAGCGGCGAGAGUGUGAACGGAGGCGCUCUGAAG